AUUGAACGCUGGCGGCAGGCCUAACACAUGCAAGUCGAGCGGGGUUUUCGGACCUAGCGGCGGACGGGUGAGUAAUGCGUAGGAAGCUACCCGAUAGAGGGGGAUACCAGUUGGAAACGACUGUUAAUACCGCAUAAUGUCUACGGACCAAAGUGUGGGACCUUCGGGCCACAUGCUAUCGGAUGCGCCUACGUGGGAUUAGCUAGUUGGUGGGGUAAUGGCUCACCAAGGCGACGAUCCCUAGCUGGUUUGAGAGGAUGAUCAGCCACACUGGAACUGAGACACGGUCCAGACUCCUACGGGAGGCAGCAGUGGGGAGUAUUGGACAAUGGGCGCAAGCCUGAUCCAGCCAUGCCGCGUGUGUGAAGAAGGCCUUCGGGUUGUAAAGCACUUUCAGUAGGGAGGAAGGGUGUUGUGUUAAUAGCACAGCAUUUUGACGUUACCUACAGAAGAAGCACCGGCUAACUCUGUGCCAGCCGCCGCAGUAAGAC
rnacentral:rRNA from 1 species